GAACGAUACUUGGCACCGUGUCGAGCGCAGCUCCGGCAGGUUCAUGAGGCGGUUCCGGCUGCCGGAAAAUGCGAAAAUGGAUGAGGUCAUGGCGUCAAUGGAGAACGGAGUACUUACCGUUACAGUUCCCAAGGUUGAGUGAAAUUGCAUUUGUUAGAAACUACGAGUUAUCCAAAACCAGUGACAACAAACUUGUUGGAUAUUAUACUGCCAAUAUCUAUAUCUACUCUUGAAGAUGCAACAGGCAUAAACCCUCCUCAGUUUUGUAUGUUCAGGGAACGGAGUUGAUGAGGUAUAAGCUCAUGAACUUCAAACUCUUGGAAAAAGUUAUAAACAUGCGGCGCUUAAGGCUUCCUCUAACCGGAGGGACUACAACUUUGUUCUUGCCUGUUGUAAAAUUUGCUAUCUUUGACAGCUUCUCCACCUUAAUCUUGUUCCCCAUGUACAUGUAUAUGUAUAUAGUUGCACUUUUUAUGUUU